rnacentral:rRNA from 1 species
GAUUAACGCUGGCGGCGUGCAUAACACAUGCAAGUCGAACGAUGAAACUUUAAUGAACCCUUCGGGGAGAAUUAAAGCGGAUUAGUGGCGAACGGGUGAGUAACGCGUGAGUAACCUGCCUUACACAAGGGGAUAGCCUUUGGAAACGAAGAAUAAUACCCUAUAAAACCAUAAAAGCACAUGCAAUUAUGGUCAAAGUGAUAGCGGUGUAAGAUGGACUUGCGUCUGAUUAGCUAGUUGGUGAGAUAAAAGCCCACCAAGGCAACGAUCAGUAGCCGGCUUGAGAGAGUGUACGGCCCCAUUGGGACUGAGACACGGCCCAGACUCCUACGGGAGGCAGCAGUGGGGAAUUUUGCACAAUGGGGGAAACCCUGAUGCAGCGACGCCGCGUGAUUUAGAAGGCCUUCGGGUUGUAAAAAUCUUUUGUAUAGGAAGAAAAUGACAGUACUAUACGAAUAAGGUCCGGCUAACUACGUG